rnacentral:rRNA from 1 species
GUGGGGAAUAUUGGACAAUGGGCGAAAGCCUGAUCCAGCCAUGCCGCGUGUGUGAAGAAGGUCUUCGGAUUGUAAAGCACUUUAAGUUGGGAGGAAGGGCAUUAACCUAAUACGUUAGUGUUUUGACGUUACCGACAGAAUAAGCACCGGCUAACUUCGUGCCAGCAGCCGCGGUAAUACGAAGGGUGCAAGCGUUAAUCGGAAUUACUGGGCGUAAAGCGUGCGUAGGCGGUCUCGUAAGUUAGGAGUGAAAGCCCAGGGCUCAACCUUGGAAUUGCUCUUAAUACUGCAAGGCUAGAAUCUCGGAGAGGAUAGCGGAAUUUCCAGUGUAGCAGUGAAAUGCGUAGAUAUUGGAAGGAACACCAGUGGCGUAAGCGGCUAUCUGGACGAGUAUUGACGCUGAGGCACGAAAGCGUGGGGAUCAAACAGGAUUAGAUACCCUGGUAGUCC